rnacentral:rRNA from 1 species
AUUGAACGCUGGCGGCAGGCCUAACACAUGCAAGUCGAGCGGCAGCGGGAAAGUAGCUUGCUACUUUUGCCGGCGAGCGGCGGACGGGUGAGUAAUGCCUGGGAAAUUGCCCAGUCGAGGGGGAUAACAGUUGGAAACGACUGCUAAUACCGCAUACGCCCUACGGGGGAAAGCAGGGGACCUUCGGGCCUUGCGCGAUUGGAUAUGCCCAGGUGGGAUUAGCUAGUUGGUGAGGUAAUGGCUCACCAAGGCGACGAUCCCUAGCUGGUCUGGGAGGAUGAUCAGCCCCACUGGAACUGAGACACGGUCCAGACUCCUACGGGAGGCAGCAGUGGGGAAUAUUGCACAAUGGGGGAAACCCUGAUGCAGCCAUGCCGCGUGUGUGAAGAAGGCCUUCGGGUUGUAAAGCACUUUCAGCGAGGAGGAAAGGUUGAUGCCUAAUACGUAUCAACUGUGACGUUACUCGCAGAAGAAGCACCGGCUAACUCCGUGCCAGCCGCCGCCGUAAUAC